AGGCCAGACUGAGCAUAUCUGCACUUUGCCCACUGACAGCACUCCUGCGGCCUGAGGAAGACCAUCUGCCUCCUGAGGUUUUACUCAGAGUAAACCAUCCGCUACGAGGGGGCGUGUCGGUGGGCGGGGCCGGGGCGGAGCUGUCUUCCAGAGGCGGCGCAGCGGCAGGAAGCUCCCGAGCUUCCCACGGAGUCAGCGACCCCGGAGAAAGCUCCCGGGACUGGGCCGGCCGAGUGGCAGGACUCAGCGUUCUGAGGCCGGCGACUUCCGGGCGGCGGAGCUCUGCCCCUCCUUUCUUUUCUCUAGGUCAGGUCUCCUUCUGGCUGCGCUGGACCUGCGCACGCGGGGGACUUCCGCGUCCGGCCCUCCAGCCUCCCGCAGCGUCCCGCAGCGCCCUGGCGGGCAGCAGCCUAGGUGGUAGCGGCGCGCUUGGUGCUCGGCGCCAGCACCUGCUACUGCCAUCUACAGGCUGAGGCGGGGCCCGCGGCGAGGCGGCCGGGGGAAUCGGCUGAGCCCCUCUGGAUCUGCAGGCUCUGUUACUGUCAAGGUCCCAUCUUCUCCUCAAACCUAUUUACAGUUAUCAGGAAAAGAGGUUGAUAUGAACCCAGAAGUCAAUGUUCAGGAAGUGGCUGAAGAUGAUAAAGAUGAUGGUGUAACAAUUAUUGGAGGAAGAAAGAGAAUAUACAGAUAUCAGAAAGAAGUAUAUCUAACUUGUAAAUGAAGCUGUUUUGAAAUCAGAAAGGCUUUCCUGGGAAGUUGGUUUGAAUGACAAGACUGUACUAAAAACAAAAUGAUUCUCUAGGUUUAUCCUAUUCAGCUGCAUACUUACAUGGAGAUGUGACUACAGUAUUCCAUCUUAAGGAUCCGGAGCUAUCUGCAGCCUAUCUGAAGGUCCU